rnacentral:rRNA from 1 species
UGAGGGGAAGGUGUCCCCAGUACGAGAGGAACGGGGUGCCGUAGCCUACGGUGUACCGGUUGUCUGACAAGGCACUGCCGGGCAGCUGCGCUAUGCUGGAUAAGAGCUGAAUGCAUCUAAGCUCGAAGCCACUCCCGAAAAUAAGC